rnacentral:rRNA from 1 species
AUGCCUGUACCAUAACCGACACAGGUGGGUAAGUAGAGUAUACUAAGGGGCGCGAGAUAACUCUCUCUAAGGAACUCGGCAAAAUAACUCCGUAACUUCGGGAGAAGGAGUGCCUUAUUCUUAAGGUUGCAAUAACAAGAUCCAAGCAACUGUUUAUCAAAAACACAGGUCUCCGCUAAGUCGUAAGACGAUGUAUGGGGGCUGACGCCUGCCCAGUGCCAGAAGGUUAAAGAAGUCGGUUAGCAAUAGCAAAGCUGGUAACUGAAGCCCUGGUGAACGGCGGCCGUAACAAUAACGGUCCUAAGGUAGCGAAAUUCCUUGUCGGGUAAGUUCCGACCCGCACGAAAGGCGUAAUGAUUUGGAUGCUGUCUCGGAGAGGGGCUCGGUGAAAUAGACUUGUCUGUGAAGAUGCGGACUACCCGCACCAGGACAGAAAGACCCUAUGAAGCUUUACUGUAACUUGAAAUUGAAAUUGGACUUUAUUCGCGCAGUAUAGGUGGGAGGCGUUGAUUAUAAUCUUGUGGGAUUAUUGGAGCCAUCAGUGAGAUACCACUCUUGUAAUGUUAGAUUUCUAACUUUGAAUCAUUAUCUGGUCAAAGGACAGUUUCAGGCGGGCAGUUUGACUGGGGCGGUCGCCUCCUAAACGGUAACGGAGGCGUACAAAGGUUUCCUCUGAACGGUUAGAAAUCGUAUCUAGAGUGUAAAGGCAUAAGGAAGCUUACAGUAAGACCUACAAGUCGAGCAGGGACGAAAGUCGGUCUUAGUGAUCUGACGGUACUGAGUCGAAAGGCCGUCACUCAACGGAUAAAAGUUACUCUAAGGAUAACAGGCUGAUCUCCCCCAAGAGUUCACAUCGACGGGGAGGUUUGGCACCUCGAUGUCGGCUCAUCGCAUCCUGGGGCGGUAGUACGUCCCAAGGGUUGGGCUGUUCGCCCAUGAAAGCGGUACGCGAGCUGGGUUCAGAACGUCGUGAGACAGUUCGGUCCAUAUCCGGUGUAGGCGCUAGAAUAUUGAGAGGAGCCUUCUUUAGUACGAGAGGACCGAGAAGGACAUACCUCUGGUGUACCAGUUAUCGUGCCAACGGUAAACGCUGGGUAGCUAUGUAUGGAGUGGAUAACCGCUGAAAGCAUCUAAGUGGGAAGCCCACCUCAAGAUAAGUAUUCUCAUCACGUAAGUGAGUAAGGUCACGGUAAGACUAACCGUUUGAUAGGCAUUAAGUGUAAGUACAGUAAUGUAUGUGCUGAGAUGUCCUAAUAGACCGAGGACUUG